CACAUCAGCAAGUUCAACCAAGUUUGGCUGAGCCAGUUCAAACUUGAAGAAUCAAUAAUUCAACCCACAGAAUCUUGAGAUAAAUGAAUGAUUGUUUAUGAACUGGCAUAUUUCAAGAUGUUUUGUUAUAACCCAAAGAUAUCUGUAGAAAUAACUGGACAUGUUUGAUAAUUUAUUUUGAAUUAGAUAUUACAGGUUUCUCUUAUGCAAUUAACCUGAAAGAACAAUCACUUUGUAGGAUAUUCUUUUGUCAUGUCAAUAUUGAUAAGACGCAGAAUAAUGAAAUAGAAUCAGUAGAAGAAAAUGGAGAGGUAAAUAAUUAUUUCUUACCUUUAUACUUAAAGGGAGAUACAUUUAAGAAGAUAGUUGCAUACCAUAUGAGGUUGGUAUUUGUAGGAUAAUAGUGUGGAUUAGCCAAUUACAAGGACAGUGAGCAUAUAAAAUUUAUUUUCCAAGGGAUUUUUGAGUUGAAGAAAUUUCAUAAAGUCAGUAUGAAAAUAUGAACAAGUUGUAUAGUACAAUCUCUCAGAGUAUAGUGAUGAAGUCAGUAAAUUUGGUCUUAGAAGUAAUCACUCUGUCACUAUUAUAUCCAAGAAUUCAUUCCAGGUAAUGAAGGUACAAACACAUAAUCAUCUUCCUUAAAGAUCCUGCUGUCUAGCAGGAGAUUAGAAAAUAUAUUUAUGAAAUAUUUAGCUCAAAGAAAGGCUAUAUAAUCCUUACUUUUUUUUUUUUUUUUUUUUGGAUUUAAUAAAAUUACAACUUUUAAUUUUAACAUUUGGUUACUUCUCCACUGACUCUGUGUCUGUGUUUCAGGGGAAAAACUGUCAGGGAGUUAUCAUACCACAAAGCUACUUGGUCACUCUACUAGAGAUCACAUUCUAUUUCUGGCGGUGUAAAGUGGGAAAAAAACUAACAAACUGGCCAAGCAGCUUCAGGCAGAGCAACUCUACUUCAGGCUUAUAGAUUGAUAUCUUAGUUUUCAGUGAAAACCACAAAUAAGAAACACAGUCAAAUGUCCUGCUUCAAGCCUGAAAGAGUUAUCAAUUAGGAAAAGGUGGAAAAGAUAUUACAAAACCAAUAUCUUUAAAAAAUAAAUAAGGUGAAUCACUGAUUAUGAGGGACACAAUAGCAAAUUACCUAGAUCCUUUUCAUUGUGGAAUUAAAGGUUACCAUUUUAUGGGUUGGUACCACUGUGUGAUUCUAGAAAACUUCUGGAAAUACUGUAGACAGACGAUGGCUAAUUUGGAACAAAUGUUUGGAUAUUCUAAAACUCUCCACACCACGAAAAAAAGACUUAAUUGUGACUGUUUUCUUUUAGGACUUGAAUUGAUUCCCCACAAAAUGUUUUAAAAUCAGGAUUUUUUAUAUUUUAUUUUAAUUUAAUAUCUCAUUAUAUUUUAAUGAGAUACUAAUAAACUCCCUUGACUAACUAAAUGAUAGGAUUUAUUUUACCUAGUCAUGAUUUCAGUUGAGCAGUUGUAGGAAUGCUUACUUGUUAACCUGCUAAAGUUUGUAUCAUAAACUUCAAACAAAAUUUUAUGUCUUUGAUUGAAAUAAAAGUAAAAAUGUUUAAUUAACAUAUUUUUAUAUUGAUUAUAACAUUUCUGAAUGUUUGUUGCCUGUGCUUGGAAGCAUAGAAUAUAUAGCACCAGAAGUGUUCUAAUGUGUAAACAGGUUUUACUAUGUUUCUCCUGAUAAUAAUUGACUAUCAUAUAUGCCAGAGAUGUCUAAUGUACAUGAGAAGCAUUAAAGAACUUGUUCAGCCUCAAAAAGAGGGAGGAGUUUUGUCUAGACUCCGUGGACUUCACUUAUUCACUAAGAUUCCCAAAGGAUAUCAGUUUGUAAAUCCCACCUUGGAUAAACAAUGGCCUUUUCACACUCACAGACCUAAUAAAAAAUAACUGUUAAUUAAAGUUGCCAGCUGAUUAUGAGAUAAGUGUUUUUUAAAGUCCAUGGAUCUUCCCUCAUGAGAUGCUACUAUUGCCAAUGAGUUGAGACUCUUCCAAUUACCUCCAUUUGUUUUCCUUUCCUCAAUCCAAGGUCUAUCAUAAGACUGCUAAUAUGAACUUCUUUAUUGUAGAAAAAUUAGUUUUAUCAGAUUAAGCAACUAUUAUUCAACAAAAAUUCAAAUGAUAUAUUUAGAUUAUUUUGAGUCUGGAUCGUUCUAUUUUUCAAGUAAAAGAGCUGAGAAGACUGGUGACUGCUACAAAUCUCUGAGGAUGCUUUCUUGUAACCUUCCUUUAGUGACAAUGGCAAUUGAUUUAGCCAUGUUCUCUUUUCAGCUGAGUCUCUUUCUUGAAAUGCAGGCAUCAAAGAAGAUUCUGAGCCCUUGUAUGAACAGAUGCACUGAUUUAUAUUUCAAUCCCUAUGCUUUCAGCAAGGCAAGAUUUUAGUCUCAUUUUAUUAUUUAGUACUACUCUAUGAUAAAAUGGCCUAUUGUCUUUGUACUGCAUCUUCCUCCAACACAAGAGCAGAUUGUCACUGUCACCAAAGAGAUAACCACACAUAUAGAACUGUUUCUACAAUCUUUAACGAACUUAAAGUCUUCAUAAGAUCAAAGACGAAAAGUAAAAGCAGUAGGUGUACUCCCUUCCCUUCCCAGAAUGAUAAUUUGUCACAAGCAUUGAGUCAAUCCCACUCUCAAGACAUGAAGGUGAAAAGAGUUAGGGACAUGCCUUUUACACACUCUGGACAAUAACUACCUUCUUACAAUCUGUACACCAACUUAAUCAGGAAUAGUUUUCUGAAGGUAUAAUCUGCCUCUUUACUAAGAAAGAGCAAACAUAACUGUGGAAUGUUAAAUACAUGAACAUCUAGUUUUAGUGUAGUACAGUUAAAAAAAUAAUCUCUGAAUGACACUCGUAUCUCUGUUAAAAUAGAAAGGCAAUUUCAAAAGGGUAAGCACUCACCAGUGCAUUACUAUGACUGUUAACAAAAAGAUAACUUUAUUUUUGGUAUUGUCAGCCACUUUCUUCAUAUCCUAUUCUUAGAUCAUUGGCAAACUAACCAUCUUCGUGCUGCUUCAGUAGGGCUACCUUACUUCAUUGACAUAUACAUUCAAUCAAAAAUUUUUAAAAUUUAUUAUUAUUUUACAGAAUCUGUUUGAGAAUGUAGAAACUGGUGCCAAGUAUUAUGUCUCUCAAAGUCACUGUUGCCAUUUCUAAUGCUAUUCUUCCCUCCCCCCUUUAACUGCCACAUAUAUUGUUUGUCUAUCCCAACUAGAUACAUCUCCUACCUAAGGAAGCCUUAUAAUUGAGAAGACCUCUGACGUGACAAACUUUACCAUGGAAUAAAUUUUUUGAGGUGUAAAGAAGCCAAAAAAUGCCUUGUGCCUUUUGAAAUUUGUGAUACAUGUUAAAGAAGGUAACCUUAGAGAGUUACAGUAGCACAGUACAUAGACCCUUUAAU
rnacentral:lncRNA from 1 species